UACGGAGGGUGCGAGCGUUAAUCGGCAUUACUGGGCGUAAAGGGCGCGUAGGCGGUGGGUUACGUCUGCCGUGAAAUCCCCGGGCUCAACCUGGGAAUGGCGGUGGAAACGGGCUGACUGGAGUAUGGGGGAGGGGGAUGGAAUUCCAGGUGUAGCGGUGAAAUGCGUAGAGAUCUGGAGGAACACCAGUGGCGAAGGCGGUCACCUGGCCCAAUACUGACGCUGAUGCGCGAAAGCGUGGGGAGCAAACAGG
rnacentral:rRNA from 1 species